UACAGAGAGGGCAAGCGUUGUCCGGAAUGACUGGGCGUAAAGCGCGCGCAGGCGGUUUCUUAAGUUGGAUGUGAAAUCCCCGGGCUUAACCUGGGAACUGCAUUCGAUACUGGGAGACUAGAGGCCGAGAGAGGAAAGCGGAAUGACGAGUGUAGAGGUGAAAUUCGUAGAUAUUCGUCGGAACACCAGAGGCGAAGGCGGCUUUCUGGCUCGGACCUGACGCUCAGGCGCGAAAGCGUGGGGAGCAAAC
rnacentral:rRNA from 1 species